GUUUUCUUUCAUCCAAACCUGCACUGCUUUGGAGUUUUUCAAUCAGAGGGCCUUUAAAGGAAUUCACACAAAUGGGUGCCAAGCUAUCAUUUAGAGACACACUUUUAGGUGCAGCUUCCUCAGAAUGUGGAUUCCCAGAAGUAGCAUUUGGUAUCUCUCCAAGAAGCUUCUCAAACUCAUCAAAGUCUACUUCAGUUCUUCCAACUUCCAUUUUCUAAAUUGUGAAGUUUU
rnacentral:misc_RNA from 1 species